GGGCAGGACAGCCAGCGCCGCGCGGAAGAGCGCGCGAGCCACUGGGAGCCGGCGCUGCUCUGCUCUCCCGCCGACCUCUGCGGCCAAGCGCGCUCCGGCACCGCACUGCGCCGCGCACAGCAGCCGGGAGCAGAGGUGGGGAGCUGGACCCGCGCAGAACCACAGAAAAGCGCCGCACAAUUGCGCCAAGGACAAACCCUGGGCACGCUCGCCGGGGGGUUGGAGCGCAGGGCGCUGGUGCUCCUCUAACUGGGCGGUCGCGGCGCUCCAACGAGAAGGUCGUGAUCUCAGGAUCCUGGGAUCCAGUGCCAGGUCCAGCUCCCUGCUCUGCAGGGAGUCCUGCUUCUGCCUCUCCCUCUGCCCCUCCCUCUGCUCGUGUUCUCUCUUGCUCUUGCUCUGUCUCUCUCAAAUAAAUAAAUAAAAUCUUUUUUAAAAAAAUAAUAGU